CUGCAGCUCAAGUGGUGGCCGCUAUUAUUGGGCCUAAAACGUCCGUAGCCGGUUUCAUAAAUGCCUGGGUAAAUCAUACGGCUUAACCGUAUGAAUUCCGGGUAGACUGUUUAACUUGAGACCGGGAGAGGCUAGAGGUACUCCUGGGGUAGAGGUGAAAUUCUGUAAUCCUAGGGGGACCACCAGUGGCGAAGGCGUCUAGCUAGAACGGGUCUGACGGUGAGGGACGAAGCCCUGGGGAGCAAACGGGAUUAGAUACCCCGGUAGUCCAGGGUGUAAACGCUGCUCGCUUGAUGUUAGUCGGGCUCCGGGCCCGACUAGUGUCGGAGAGAAGUUGUUAAGCGAGCUGCCUGGGAAGUACGGUCGCAAGACUG
rnacentral:rRNA from 1 species